AACGAACGCUGGCGGCAUGCCUAACACAUGCAAGUCGAACGAGACCUUCGGGUCUAGUGGCGCACGGGUGCGUAACGCGUGGGAACCUGCCCUUAGGUUCGGAAUAACUCCCCGAAAGGGGUGCUAAUACCGGAUAAUGUCUUCGGACCAAAGAUUUAUCGCCUUUGGAUGGGCCCGCGUUGGAUUAGCUAGUUGGUAGGGUAAAAGCCUACCAAGGCGACGAUCCAUAGCUGGUCUGAGAGGAUGAUCAGCCACACUGGGACUGAGACACGGCCCAGACUACUACGGGAGGGAGCAGUGGGGAAUAUUGGAAAAUGGGCGAAAGCAUGAUCAAGCAAUGCCGCGUGAGUGAUGAAGGCCUUAGGGUAGUAAAGCUCUUUUACACGGGAUGAUAAUGACAGUACCGGGAGAAUAAGCUCCGGCUAACUCCGUG
rnacentral:rRNA from 1 species